rnacentral:tRNA from 1 species
AGGGAUGUGGUGAAACGGUAUCACGGCACUCUCCAAAAGUGCUUUUCCAGGUUCAAGUCCUGGCAUCCCUG